rnacentral:piRNA from 3 species
AUGUGCUUGGCUGAGGAGCCAAUGGG